UCUAUAGUUCAGCAACAUCAAGGGGCUUGGACUAUCCAAGUUCAGGUUACGGCUUAUGGGAAACAUUGGUUAGAUGCAGUAACAAAAAGACCAAAAUAUCAAAGUUAAAGUGACUUUACAUACCGUGUUCCAUCCGACUGUGGUCACUUGCAGCCGAAGGACAGAAGGCAGUCAAAAGGAAUGAAUGAUUCAGGAGAAUAUCUUAGUUAAAAAUUGCAUUCUUACCCAAAUACUCUACGUGAUUGCCUGCUUUGCGGCUUUGGGGGAUCCUCAGCUCAGCAUGAACAGAGGCGCACUCAUAAGAACUGAACCUUGAAUCACAGCCUCGUACAAAGCCAGGCAAUCUUUGAGCCAAACAAACAAAGGGGGUAUUCAUAUGCCUGAGCCAUCAGCACAUGUGAGGCAUAUUUCUCACUCAAAAUUGGAAGAAAGACAGUGCAGAGACUCUUCAGGGAGUGGAGAACAUUCAUAUGGAUUGAUCCCUUAGUUUUCUAGCAUCUGUUUUGACGAGUCACCUAACAAAACACACAGCUCCGAUGUGGCCCUUUAUGUGUCAGGAGUCCAGGGGUUCUCUGGAAGCAGCUGCCAUAUUGCGAGCAGUUCUCCACAGAGGCCCAUAAAAGUGAGAAACGGGCCUCCAGCCCACAGCCAUGAGGAGCUAUAGCCUACCAGCAGUCCAGCUCUGGGGCCAGGAGUGGCUGCAGCUCUACUAAAAGCUCAACUGGGCAACACCUGGGUAACAGACCCAUACAAACUGAGUGGGAUGAAAAAUUUUCAUUGUUUUAAGCUCAGGUAUGGGAAAACUUGUCAUGCAACAAAGAUAACUAAUACACAUGCUUUAAAAGAGGUGACAACUUCCAAGUUUCCUUAAAUAAUUUGCAUAGGAUAUUAGAUAUAUGGAAAAUAAAUAUCAUAAAAUGUUGCUGCACCAACGAAUCUAGGUAUUACUCAAUUGGUCAUGUAAAAAUAGCACCAUAAACAUAUUUGUAAUUUAGUUGGUAAAAAUUGUAAAAAAAGCCACAAGUAUAAUUUGUGAUUGAUAACUGUCAGAAAUGUGUUAAAUGUCUUCAAAUUUUAAAAUCGAUUUGUAAUUAUGAGUCCUUUUGAUGUCUGAAUAUGUGUUUCUAAAAAAGACAUUUAUUAUAACGCAAUAGUACAAAAUAGAAUCUAUGUAAACACACAGAACUAAGAGAAUAGUUAAGUCAGACAUUUUCUCAUUAGAGUAUUAAAAAGUCAUGAAAACUUUUUGAAAAAAAAAAAACAUAAUGAAAGACUCUAGGCAUAAGGCUUAGUAAAAAGAUCAGAACACCCUGUAAGAAUAGUGUACAGUGACUUGAAAGUGGAUGUGGACAUUUUUUCAUCUUUUCAGUUGUGGGAUUAUGUAGGAAUUUGUUGUCUUUAAACUUUUUCUGAUCUUUUUAAAGAUUUCUCUACUAUAUGUGUGUUAUUACUUUUACUGUCAGGAAAAUGUAUAUAGCACUUGAAGAAGCUAGUCUUAAUUUGUUUUUAGGACUACAAAGAAAUGAGGACCGUGAACUUUAACCUUCCGACUAGGGGAGAAACCUAUGAAAUAAACCCCCAAAAUAGAGCACCUGUAUAGGUGUUGGUUGUGCUUUCUGAUUGGCUUUCUUCCAAAUCAUCUUCGUCUUUGGAAAUAACCAUGGUCUUUCUGUCACUGACCAAUCUUAUUGAUUUACAGAAACGAACAUAGGUUAUUUAUUUAUUUUGUUCCAUUAAAGCUGCUGAAUCGAAGAGUAAAUUCUAAAAUUUUAUGUGAGUAAAAGUUUACGUUCUAUAGUAGACGCUCAUGAAAUUGGGGAAGGAAAAGUCAGAUGGCACUAAAAUGUAUUUUAAGAAUAUGCUUGUGAAUAUAUUCUUGUUCAUUAAGUGAAAGUUGGAAAAAAUCUUGAAAUUGAGUAUUUAACUGGAAAGAAUUAACCAAAGUGCCACCAACCAAGACCUGCUUCGACAGAUUGGUGCCUUUUUUCUGAUGCUUAUAUUCUCUUUGUGCCUUUCCUCCGCAUCUUGUGCUUUUAUCUUUCAUAUUUUGUUGUUAUGGUACCUUUCCUUCUAGUCGAUCAGUUCUAUCUUUCUGGCUUGUCCUCCUUUCUUCAGUCCUUAGAAUAUAAUAGGUGCUUAAUGAACACAUGUCAAGUGACUCAGCUGUACUGACAAUACAUGGAAAAGAGAAAAUCCCUGAGUGCAGAAAUAAGAUAAAGUCAAGUUUUACAUUAGUUGAGACUAUUGUCAAUUUGAAAUGUUACCGUCCUGCUGCUCUUGGUACCAGAUGUCAAAGAAGGCAAAUGACGUCAAGGAUGGAGAACACAGGUCACCUGAGUACUCCAGGUCUGGUGUUGUCAUAGUUAACUGACUGUGUCAACUUGAGUAAGAAACGCCCAAGUAAAUUAUGUCAGCGUACUUCUGGGUGUGGCUGAAGGGAUUUACUGAAGACAGAGACCCGGCCUCGGUGUGAAUGACAGCAACCAAUAGGCUUGCUGCCUGAAGGGGAGAAAGACAAACAAAGAAGGAAACAGGAUCACUUCUGUCUCUUUAGAGGAGCUCCAGUCUUCACUUUCACCUUGGACAUUGUCUCCUGACUUCCAGCACAGACUUUUCAGUCACCCUGUGCAGGCCCUUGGGGCUCCUGAUAUGGAUUGACCUGGGAUGCUGAGCUCCAGGCCUUCAACCUUUGACUGCAUCCCAUGGGUCUCCAGUGCAGAAGAGAGCCCCUUUGCACUCCGCUCCUGUCUUAUAAAUCCUGACGUACUAUAUAUCUUGCAUUAAAUCCAUUUUGCUAGUCAGCACUGACUGACAGAGCUGUCAAGUAGAAAUUCAAGAAUGCUUUCUGUGAGGAUGUCCAGUGAACACAAGGAAAACAGUCUGGAAUUGGCUUUCUGAACUUCAAAAGUGGAAAUGAAAAAGAGAAGCUGGCAAUUAAAGCUUUUAGGAUUUGGAGAAAAACAUCAUGGUUUCUAGCUUUAUUUGAAAUAUGAUAAAAUAUGCUGAACUUUUAAAUUAAAAAAUUAUUCAAAUAAAAGACAUUGCCAU